rnacentral:rRNA from 1 species
UACAGAGGGUGCAAGCGUUACUCGGAAUUACUGGGCGUAAAGCGCACGUAGGUGGCUUUUUAAGUCGGAAGUGAAAGCCCUGGGCUUAACCUGGGAAUUGCCUCCGAUACUGGCAAUCUAGAAUAUGGUAGAGGGUAGUGGAAUUUCCGGUGUAGCGGUGAAAUGCGUAGAUAUCGGAAGGAACACCAGUGGCGAAAGCGGCUACCUGGACCAAUAUUGACACUUAGGUGCGAAAGCGUGGGGAGCAAACAGG